rnacentral:misc_RNA from 1 species
GUUUUCCUAAACGGAACUCUACCAUCUCUUUUUUCCGGUUACCGUUUAGGUUUCCGACCAAUUUUCUUCUUCUCCGGUGAACUAUUCCGGUUAAAAGUUGUAUGGUGGGGUGUUUGUUUGAAUCUUAGGUUUGUGUUUCUGUUGGUUUUGAGUUUUAAUUCUUUGUUUUGAUUUAGAAAAUUUUGCUUCUUCUGAAGUCGUUGUGGGGAUAUUCGGGUCGUGUAAGAGUGUGUUAGAAGGUGAUUAUCUUUUGAUUAAGUUCUUUUUUUGCUUCUUUUGAGGGGGU